UGCUUUGCUGUAAAAAAAGACGUUUGCCGUCAGUGUAACCAAGAUAAGAAUUACAAUUUUAAAACUGAAAAUGUAGAGCAUGUAAUUACAUUGUUUUCAAACCAUGAUGUUAACCGAAACAUAGCUUGGUUUUUGUCACGUUACAAUUUAGACUUCAUACUCAGAUCGCGCCAUAUUUUUCCUCUUAUUUCUGGCGCCAAUGUCUAACGUUAAACGAUAAUGCUGUAUUGAUGUUCCCUACGCCCUCUAAAACAAACAAACAAACAAAAAAAACACUAAAAAAGCUCAAACUGCAGAGUUUGGCAAUGGGCUGUGUGCUCACAAUACAGGAAGAUUACGACGACGAUGUGAAAUGGCUUAUAGCAGAGAAGCUAAGAAAGUAAUCGGACGGUCUUGGAUGUUGAUGCAGUGGAACAGAAAUUGGCAGACCCCACCUUCCAGAAACAAGUGGUUGCUGUGGUGGCAGUACUGUGGAUGAAGCCAGGAGAAGAAUGAGGGCCUUCCUUUUGGACCACCCCGCAUCAAGAGAGUUCAAUUUUGUUGGCCGGCAUGGAAAGUGAGAGUUUCAGGGGCUCAGACCGCUUGAGGUUGUAUAAGGAAGCUUGAAAAAAAUUCUCUUAACCAAAUUACCAGAAAAGAGGCAGAAAAGUCAGCAUCAAAGUGGCUAAUCGGUGACGGGAGGAAACCGUUCUGCGAAGUCACGUAGUAGAGAGUAAGAUAGGGCCGUUGGGAGAGCGAGGACAGAGGUGUGAGGGGCUGCACGGUUGGUUGGUUUGUUUGUUUGUGAAAUAAUGUAUUUUAGAGUUUUCAGAUGUGUAUACAAACGAUACAAGUUAUUCCAAAUAAUGUUUGGCAGGAGCUUCACUUUAAUUUUUUUUAAGAUGCUUAUGUUUUAUAAAGUUGUAAAUACACAAUACAUAAUGGUCAUGUUCAAAUUAUUCCAACGAAACCUUGUAUGCAGAAUACAAGUUAUGAAGAUUUUUAUUUUUACAAGAAAUAAAGUUUUUCAGGAGCUUAAAAUUAACUUUUUUUUUUUUUUUUUAUACUUGUUUUAUAAAGUUGUGAAUGUACAAGUUAUAAUAGUAAUGUUUAAAUUAUUCCAAAUAAACUUUGCUUAAAAGCACUGGUUUCUGUUUAUUGAAUACCUUUAGCAUUUUAGUGGAUUUAAUGUAAUGUUUGUAUUUAGGGGUGUACUGUAAAAUAAGGUAACCCAAACAGACAAAUGUUAGCCCAUGUGUAUACUUGUUGUGGCCCAUAAGAGACCUACAUAAGACCUAGCUGGGUCCCAUCACUAACCCAUGUAGGCAGACUCGUAUAGGCACCAAAUGGGAGCUACCUGGUUAACCCGUAUGGGCCCCAUGUGGAGCCCAUCAAGGGCCCAUCAUCAGCCCAUCUGGGCUAACCCCUGUUGGACCACCAUGGAAACUGAGGACAAAAUUAGCUGGGUCCCAGAUGGGCCCAGUUGCAACCCCUAUGGGCCCCACAUGGAUGUGUUGGCUGGGGAGUUUCACUCGUUUCUUGCUUCGAUAUCCCAUGCCGAACUGCAUCAUAUCGCCGGGAUGAUAAUCUUCCGGUAUAUAGUGAUCGCUAAAUUACACACCACCGCGUUGUUUGAAGCAGAUGCAUUAAGUCUCUUCAGCUGCACAAACGCACCGAGGCUCGGAAGAUACCGUCCUAUUUCUCGUCAGGAAACCUGUGGACUCGAUGUGCUGAUAGCGAAAGCGUGCGCACGGAUUAUGAAUUUGUGGGUACGGAUUCAAAAACCGAGGGUACGGUUUACAAAAUCUGAGCGCACGGAUUGUAAAUCCGUGGGCAUGAUUUGUUAAACCGAGGGAACAGUUUAAGAAUUCGUGAGUACGGUUUAUAUACUGUGGGAACGGAUUGUUUUUUUUCCCCCUCCUGCAGGUGACUUCCCGGGCUCCGUAGUCUCGCGUGGCACACGACUCGUGACGUAAUAUGACACGAUGUUGAAAAAAAAAGUGCUUUUUCAGAACUGUCAAGGAAUGCGUCCCUUUUUCUUCUAAAUUUGUGCCCUCACGCCUUGUAAAACAUUUUCAAACCCUGCAAUAACGG